GGCGUGUCAACGACGGGCGAUCCAUCGGGAAGGAAACUAGGUAGUGGAUUGGGGCGUGUCAACGACGGGCGAUCCUGAAAUGCGUUACCAUAACAAACAAAACAGAAAUGGAAAACGGAACAACCCUCUCUCUCGUUGCCUAAAAAUCCGCUCAGCUCCUCUUCCCUUUCUCUAUAAAAGUUUCUCUCUCUAAUUUCCUGAAUCUCCACUAGCCUCCCCCAUUCUCCCUCUCACACACACACCAAACAUCCGAUCCUUGGAAGUGGAAGCUCCUGUAAUCUUCCUUUCAUGGCGUCGGAUAAAGGCAGGCCCUUGCCCAAGUUUGGUGAGUGGGAUGUAAACAACCCUGCCUCAGCUGAAGGAUUUACUGUCAUAUUUAACAAGGCCAGAGAUAAGAAGAAAACAAAAAAUGCUCCAGCAAAAGUAAUGUCCCCAAGAAGAAAUGAUGCUGUGCACAAGAACAAUGAUUCUUAUCAGAAUUCUCCAAAGGUAAAUGUUUUGUACGAGUACUCGUUGAGUCUCCCUGUUACUAGAUUCUUUUAUGACCAUCUUUUUUGUAAAAUGAAAAAAAAAAAGGAACCUUUAUGGACAUUCUUAAUUUUGGCAAUUCUUCUGGUUUUAGCAACUUCAGCUGGAUUUGGUACAAUUUUAAGUUGAUUGUAUCUUGUACCCCUUUAAUCUCUUAGAGCUUUAUUCUCCACGCAGUGGAAAUGGCUUUGCUGUGGUUGAACCAUAGUGUAAUUCCUUCAAGUGAAUGUUCCUGGCGUCCUAGUGGAGCAUCGAGUUGAUUCUGAUUAUAUCCUUCUCCCUCCUGCUGUUUUGGGCUUUCAAGUUUCAUUUUAUGUUUCUUAUGCUUUUGAUAUAAUGUGAAAGAGAGAGAAUUGCAUAUAAAAAUUCCGUAGAAUUUGUUGUUUCAUAGAGACUACCAGUGCUUUCUCUUUUUGGGUCUGAGAGAGAACAGAAUAUUAUUAUAAUCAUCAAAUACUGUAUUCUUGAUCUGGCAUUUAAUUUCUUAGCUUGAAAUA
rnacentral:misc_RNA from 1 species